rnacentral:rRNA from 1 species
AUGAGUGGACAUGCCGUUGCGCGUACCUUGAUGAUGGUGCUGCCGAUCUGCAGAAUGUGCACUCCUGGCUCCAGAUAUCCCAGCACACGCAGCUUAGGGGCAUGGCCAAUCUUGACUGUCGUGCUCAUUGCGCCUAUGCGGCCCCGCUCGCUCCAAUUUCUCCAGAGGAAGAGACGCUCCAGGCUUGGGGCGUUCACCAUGGCGACCUCCUCCAGGAUGGACAAGCAGAACUGCGCGCACCGUAGGCUCUGGUUGGCGAUACGAGCUUGCAAUGAGGCCAGGCUUCCAUGGAACGCGAGCAUCUCCAGCACGGGGCUCACGGCGAGCAAGAACUCCAGGUCUUUGUCCUUCAUGACGACGCAGCCAAGCACAAGCUCCCGAAGGUUGGGGAAGCCGGCGCCGCGUGGGAGGGCGGUGGUGUUCGGGAACACCCAGGCGCCGAGGCAGAGCCGGGAGAGGGAGGCGCAGCUGAAGAGCGAGGAUGGGAGGGGCAGGCCGGGAAGGGGCCAGGGGCGAUUAACGAAGACGAGCUCGUCGACGCCCUUGGUGACAAGGAUCUGGAACCAGCGCGCGAGCACGCGGCGGUCGGUGGCGUCCAUGAAGCUGCAGGUGAGGCUGACGAAGGGGAAUGGCCCAGGAUGUGCCUUGAGGGCGGCGGAGACGGCGUCGGUGACGGCACGCGAGACGGCACCGGCUCGGGCGGGCCGGCACUCCGCGUCGCCCCUGGAGAGGAGGUGGGUGUCGACGAGGACGAGCGGCACGGAGCGCCAGAGUCCGCGCCAGCGCGAGGAGAGCACGGUGGUGCGCGCGCCGUCCUUGGCGGGGAGGCGAGAGAGGACGCGACGGAGGAGAUCGUCGGGUAGGCGGCCGUGGCGGCGCAGCACAGGGGGGCGAGUGUGA